rnacentral:rRNA from 1 species
GCGGACGGGUGAGUAACGCGUGGGAACGUACCCUUUGGUUCGGAAUAGCCCCUGGAAACGGGGAGUAAUACCGGAUGAGCUCUUCGGAGGAAAGAUUUAUCGCCAAGGGAUCGGCCCGCGUUGGAUUAGGUAGUUGGUGGGGUAAUGGCCUACCAAGCCGACGAUCCAUAGCUGGUUUGAGAGGAUGAUCAGCCACACUGGGACUGAGACACGGCCCAGACUCCUACGGGAGGCAGCAGUGGGGAAUCUUAGACAAUGGGGGAAACCCUGAUCUAGCCAUGCCGCGUGAGCGAUGAAGGCCUUAGGGUUGUAAAGCUCUUUCGCCUGGGAAGAUAAUGACGGUACCAGGUAAAGAAGCCCCGGCUAACUCCGUGCCAGCAGCCGCGGUAAUACGGAGGGGGCUAGCGUUGUUCGGAAUUACUGGGCGUAAAGCGCGCGUAGGCGGAUCGGGAAGUUGGGGGUGAAAUCCCGGGGCUCAACCCCGGAACUGCCUUCAAAACUACCGGUCUUGAGUUCGAGAGAGGUGAGUGGAAUUCCGAGUGUAGAGGUGAAAUUCGUAGAUAUUCGGAGGAACACCAGUGGCGAAGGCGGCUCACUGGCUCGAUACUGACGCUGAGGUGCAAAAGUGUGGGGAGCAAACAGGAUUAGAUACCCUGGUAGUCCACACCGUAAACGAUGAAUGCCAGACGUCGGGCAGCAUGCUGUUCGGUGUCACACCUAACGGAUUAAGCAUUCCGCCUGGGGAGUACGGCCGCAAGGUUAAAACUCAAAGGAAUUGACGGG